CGUGGAAGAGAAGGGAUGAGAGGUGGUUGGCAUGGAGAAGGAAAGGGGGCGUGAGGUAGUUAGCACACAAAACAACUCAUUUAUUUUUCUCACGCCAAAACUCAUCCUCUUUUAUAAUUUUGUCACACAAAAUUACCUUAUUUCCAAUGCCAAUAAUUGAUAAGAAUCUAUUUGGAUUAGUUAGACUUUAUCCCUAUCCAAAUAGGUAUCCAACUAAUCAACAAACAUCAAGAAACCACCUCUCCAUACCCCUU
rnacentral:lncRNA from 1 species